AGCUUUGCACAGUGGCAGUAAUCAUAGCCAGUGAGGUUUAUCUGAGGCAUGAUUAUUGCUAACUGAAAACUAAAAGGACUCAACUCAC
rnacentral:snRNA from 1 species